rnacentral:lncRNA from 1 species
UUUAAGUCUUUUGCAUGUUUUAGGAAGCAACCUAUCCUUAAUGCAAAACCAUUCAUUUGAUCAAUUGAUCAAGAUGAAUUAGGUUUGAAUCAAGGAAGAUUAAGUCUCCCUAAUCAAUGCUAACUUAUCAACCCUUAACUCAUUGAUCAAAAAAGAAAGAAAAAAAAGAAGGAGAUGAAUAGUGGAUAAUGAAAAUAAAAAGAAUAAAG